GCGUAAAGGUUUGUGAUAAGAUUUGUCAACCCGUCCCGUCCUAGUUAGUUUAGUUUAGUUUAGUUUAGCUGCCCCUCAACUCAUUUUUGCCCCCCUUGGAUCGUCUGGUCUGCAACCCCCGGCCCGGCCCUCACCCGUCUUAUUUUGGUUUUCCCCCAAUUCCUAGUUUCAAUUAGAGCUACUGCUGCCGCUGCUGCUGCUGCUGGGCUGGGGAUCCGCUGCUGCAACGAUACCAAAGUCGAGAAUAAUUCAAGAUUACUGCACUACUGCUUUCAUACAGGAAUAGAAUUCUCUCUCUCUCUCUCUCUGAUUGGACUGACUGAUAUUAUUAUUGCUUUUAUUAGAACAGGCAAAAUAAUAAGAAUCCGGGGAGGGAGAGUGAUUGUUGAUUAUUAGCAGUAGGAAGUUAGGGAGGGAGAGGAUAAUUAGCAGCAAUGAAGUCAUCGUUGGGGAAGCAGCUCAAAAGAUUUACACUGCAAAAGACCCACCAUGCCAAGGAUAACAAGGAUCACCAAUCCCUGGCGCAUUCCGAUGCGCUCGCCCAGGCUUCUCAGGAUAUGAAAGACAUGAGGGAUUGCUGUGAUAGUUUUCUUUCUGCAGCUGCUGCAACCACAAAUAGUGCUAUGAAUUUUCAGAGUCUUUGCUGGAAAUGGGUAACUGUCUACUGGAGAGGACUGCAUUCAACAGUGACGGAGAAUGUGGCAGAGCAUUGUCAAUACUGGGAAAAGUACAGCUGGAACUCCAGAAACUUGUUGAUGGCUAUCGUUCUCACGUAAUCCUGACUAUCACGAACCCAUCAGAGUCUCUUCUUUCUGAGCUGCGGAAAGUGGAGGAGAUGAAACAGCAGUGUGAUGAAAAAAGGAGCAUAUAUGAACACAUGGUGGCACGACAUAGUGAAAAAGGAAAGUCUAAAGGUGGAAAAGGAGAAAGUUUUACGUCAGAGCAAGUACAAGCAGCUCGUGAAGAUUAUGAUGAAGUGGCAAGGCUAUGUGUUUUUCGUGUAGAAUCCUUGAAGCAAGGUCAGUGCCGCAGUCUUUUAACGCAAGCUGCUCGUCACCAUGCAGCACAGUUGAUUUUUUUCCGUAGAGGACUUAAAUCUCUUGCCGCAGUUGAGCCCUACAUGAGAAAUGUUGCUCAAAAGCAACACAUUGAUUACCAACUGAGUGAGUUAGAGGAUGCAGAAUAUCGGGAGGAUGGAGUUAACAGUGAUGAUACUAAUUGUGAUGGAGAAUUGAGUUUUGACAACUUAGAGUUUAAGCAAGAACAGGAAAAUCCUAGCACAUCAAGGAACUCAAUGGAGGUGGAAGUAGUCCAGGCAGAUGCUCCAAUUGCACAGGUUUCAGAAUUUGAUGAUCUAGAGAUCAAUUUUCGGAGAAAGAAAGGGGAGCAGGGUUUUAGCAGGAAGCCUCGAAUAAGCAGUUUUUCCGCUCCAAUAUAUGCUGGGAAGUUUGAUCCAUCUGAAAAGUUUAAAGAAAUGCAGACACCAGUCCAGAAAUUUCAUGCAUAUGCGCUACCAACUCCUUCAGAUGCAAGGAGUUUAAAUUCAAGGACAAGCAGUUACGCUGUCCAUUCAAGUACUGCUAGUGUUAGUGGAAGCGCCAACAAUGUGUGGCAUUCAUCACCACUUGAUGCUGAGAAGCACAGGAAAUUAAUGGUAGAUAACUUGGCAAUGCGCACAGCCUCCAAAACACAGGCUGCCAUAAAAGAGAGUGACCAAAAUAGUCCCUCCAUUCCACUCCCGUCCCCUUUAGCAGAAGGAGCUUCACUCCCACAAUCUGAUACAAACUAUGAUGCCAAAAAAAUUGAACGACAGGCUCUCUCUGGUCCAUUGCUGAGUAAGCCAUCAUCUAGCAAACCUUUGUUAUCUAGCAGUGGGCCCAUUGGCCCUAGUGAACUGCCACAAGCAGUAUCUGGACUGGUUUCUAGAGUUUCAACCUCCCAGCCGCCUUCAGCUAUAAAUGUGCCUCAGAGUGUUUCACCUCCUCAUGUGUCUUCACCUAAAAUAAGUGAGCUUCACGAGCUGCCUCGUCCUCCUGGUUCUUUAGCCAGCAAACCAGCAAGUUCUUCUGGUGUUAUUGGGCACUCUGCCCCUCUAAUUAACAGAAAUCGGGAAGUCUCGCCGACAAAUCGGAGUUUUGUGCUGGCAUCUAAUGCAGGAUCUCCACUUCCCCUCCUCCUCUGACUGUUCCUCGAAGUUUCUCCAUACCAUCAAGCGAUCAUAGAGUAGCUGUAUUUCAUGUUUCCAAGUUGAUGGAAUCCCCUGAGAUGAAAGAAAAGGCUGGAGUGCCUUCUCCUCCAUUAACACCACUUUCCUUAUCUAAUGUGAAGUCAACGGCUGUUGUAUCUGAACUAGCCUCCAAUCCAGGCAGAUAAGAGGAAUCAGCUGAUGCCCGACGUCCACUUUGGAUUUCAUUGGGCGGACUCUGCAUCUUACUUGCUGCGCCUCGGCCGGGGGGUGUAAAUAUGCAGAUUGACUACUGUAGUUUAUAUCUGAUUUUUCUCCAAUUCUUUCAAAGUCUAAACUAGAGAACUCGUCUAUCGAAAUUUUGACUUGUAGUGUUGUAUCAUAUGUUCUAGUCGAAGAUGGGAAGAAAUAUGGAUGUCAUGAAUGGAGUUUUUCAAAAAAAAAAAAAAGAAAAAAAGAAAGAAAGGAGGAUUUAUUUUUGGCAAGUGAAAGCAUACCAUUACCAUGGAUGUGUUUUUGAUGAUGAGGAAAAGAAAACUAAAGUAAAGUGUGGUUGUACUCUUCCGAUCGUCGAGCAUGUGAAUGGAGAAUGAAUCCAACAAGCCAACUUUCUCAUUCUGUGAUUGAUUGUAAGUUGUAACGAGGAGGAGGAGGAGGAGCAUGGUUUAUACUAAUAGAAAUUUAGUAAGACAAGCGUAGAAUGGUUAUUGUGUUUAAACGUACUUUAUUGAACCUCUCACAUUUUGUACCCUUCAACUAUGCUAUACUACAUUUUGAAUUCCUGUUUUAA